rnacentral:rRNA from 1 species
AUUGAACGCUGGCGGCAGGCCUAACACAUGCAAGUCGAGCGGGGUUUUCGGACCUAGCGGCGGACGGGUGAGUAAUGCGUAGGAAGCUACCCGAUAGAGGGGGAUACCAGUUGGAAACGACUGUUAAUACCGCAUAAUGUCUACGGACCAAAGUGUGGGACCUUCGGGCCACAUGCUAUCGGAUGUGCAUACGUGGGAUUAGCUAGUUGGUGAGGUAAUGGCUCACCAAGGCGACGAUCCCUAGCUGGUUUGAGAGGAUGAUCAGCCACACUGGAACUGAGACACGGUCCAGGCUCCUACGGGAGGCAGCAGUGGGGAAUAUUGGACAAUGGGCGCAAGCCUGAUCCAGCCAUGCCGCGUGUGUGGAGAAGGCCUUCGGGUUGUAAAGCACUUUCAGUAAGGAGGAAGCGUUGAGUGUUAAUAGUACUCAGCGUUGACGUUACUUACAGAAGAAGCACCGGCUAACUCUGUGCCAGCCGCCGCCGUAAGAC